AUACGGAGGGUGCAAGCGUUACUCGGAAUCACUGGGCGUAAAGCGCGCGCAGGCGGCCAUUUAAGUUGGAUGUGAAAGCCUACGGCUCAACCGUAGAACUGCAUCCAAAACUAUUUGGCUAGAGUGUGGGAGAGGAAGAUGGAAUUAGUUGUGUAGGGGUAAAAUCCGUAGAGAUAACUAGGAAUACCAAAAGCGAAGGCAACUUACUGGAACAGUACUGACGCUGAGGCGCGAAAGCGUGGGGAGCAAACAGGAUUAGAAACCCGAGUAGUCC
rnacentral:rRNA from 1 species